UACGAAGGGGGCUAGCGUUGCUCGGAAUCACUGGGCGUAAAGCGCACGUAGGCGGCUUUCUAAGUCAGGGGUGAAAUCCUGGAGCUCAACUCCAGAACUGCCUUUGAUACUGGCGAGCUUGAGUCCGGGAGAGGUGAGUGGAACUGCGAGUGUAGAGGUGAAAUUCGUAGAUAUUCGCAAGAACACCAGUGGCGAAGGCGGCUCACUGGCCCGGUACUGACGCUGAGGUGCGAAAGCGUGGGGAGCAAACAGG
rnacentral:rRNA from 1 species